AUUGAACGCUGGCGGCAUGCCUUACACUUGCAAGUCGAACGGCAGCACGGAGCUUGCUCUGGUGGCGAGUGGCGAACGGGUGAGUAAUAUAUCGGAACGUACCCUAGAGUGGGGGAUAACGUAGCGAAAGUUACGCUAAUACCGCAUACGAUCUAAGGAUGAAAGUGGGGGAUCGCAAGACCUCAUGCUCGUGGAGCGGCCGAUAUCUGAUUAGCUAGUUGGUAGGGUAAAAGCCUACCAAGGCAUCGAUCAGUAGCUGGUCUGAGAGGACGACCAGCCACACUGGAACUGAGACACGGUCCAGACUCCUACGGGAGGCAGCAGUGGGGAAUUUUGGACAAUGGGCGAAAGCCUGAUCCAGCAAUGCCGCGUGAGUGAAGAAGGCCUUCGGGUUGUAAAGCUCUUUUGUCAGGGAAGAAACGGUGAAGGCUAAUAUCCUUUGCUAAUGACGGUACCUGAAGAAUAAGCACCGGCUAACUACGUGCCAGCAGCCGCGGUAAUACGUAGGGUGCAAGCGUUAAUCGGAAUUACUGGGCGUAAAGCGUGCGCACGCGGUUUUUGUAAGUCUGAUGUGAAAUCCCCGGGCUCAACCUGGGAAUUGCAUUGGAUACUGCCAGGCUAGAAUCUGGGCAAGGGGGGUAGAAUUCCACGUGUAGCAUUUGAAAUGCGUAGAUAUGUGGGAGGACACCGAUGGCGAAGGGCACCCCCUGGGUCAAGAUUGACGCUUAUGCACGAAAGCGGGGGAGCAAACAGGAUUAGAUACCCUGGUAGUCCACGCCCUAAACGAUGUAUAUUAGUUGUCGGGUCUAAAUUGACUUGGUAACGCAGCUAAACGCGUGAAGUAGACCGCCUGGGGAGUACGGUCGCAAGAUUAAAACUCAAAGGAAUUGACGGGGACCCGCACAAGCGGUGGAUGAUGUGGAUUAAUUCGAUGCAACGCGAAAAACCUUACCUACCCUUGACAUGGCUGGAAUCCUCGAGAGAUUGGGGAGUGCUCGAAAGAGAACCAGUACACAGGUGCUGCAUGGCUGUCGUCAGCUCGUGUCGUGAGAUGUUGGGUUAAGUCCCGCAACGAGCGCAACCCUUGUCAUUAGUUGCUACGAAAGGGCACUCUAAUGAGACUGCCGGUGACAAACCGGAGGAAGGUGGGGAUGACGUCAAGUCCUCAUGGCCCUUAUGGGUAGGGCUUCACACGCCAUACAAUGGUACAUACAGAGCGCCGCCAACCCGCGAGGGGGAGCUAAUCGCAGAAAGUGUAUCGUAGUCCGGAUUGUAGUCUGCAACUCGACUGCAUGAAGUUGGAAUCGCUAGUAAUCGCGGAUCAGCAUGUCGCGGUGAAUACGUUCCAGGGUCU
rnacentral:rRNA from 1 species